CCAGGCUGGUCUUCAGCUCCUGAUCUCAGGUGAUCCACCCGCUUCAGCCUCCCAAAUUGCUGGGAUUACAGGCUUGUUUGGACUGAGUUCCAGAUCUGGGCUGUCAUGGAACAUAACAGGGACCCUUCAUGGGGACAGCAAGAAGGUUCACCGACCCAAUUCAGAGGAAGGAAGAGCCUGGCCUUCAAAAUUACUAUGACCAUCAGAAUGCCCUAGGAGAUCAAAGAAAUAACGGAGUGGGUGUGAGACCUUUUACAAAUGUGUGCACUCAAGCAGUGCAAAGGCAAACCUCCUGAAAAGAUUAAGACAUCACUGGGCCAAGCACCCACAUGAUGUCACUCGCCUGCCUGCAUUCUGCCUACAGUGGGUAUUGUGACAUAUCCCUGGCACAGAACCAAGGUAACGUGACUCACCUACCUGGUUCCUGCCCACUGAUGGGAUUGUGACAUAUACCUAGGUCCAGCUCACAGGCAUGAUGAUAACUGUCAUACGUGGACCCAGCCAAUAAGAGAUUUUUGCUCUUAGGCUUAUUACAACAGAGUCUCGCUCUGUCACUCAGGCUGGAGUGCAGUGGCAUGAUCUCAGCCCGCUGCAACCUUCGCCUUCCAGGUUCAAGCAGUUCUCCUGCCUCAGCUCUUGGACAAAACUUCAGCACUCCUGCUAGGGUGUGUCUGCCCUACUAAGACACUGUGCGCAGGUGGAGUUGAGGCUCUUAUGUAUGGAUCCUGUCCACUGUUGAGAUUGUGAAUUGCAUGUGUAGACUCAACUCACAGGAGGUGUUGACUCACAAACCUCCAGCUGGGACAUGUGCAGGAUUAGAAAUUUUAUUUCUGGAUCUUUCUUCAGAAGGCGUUGUAACAUCUCACUAAGCCCAGCACUCAGGCGAUGUGGCUUUCCUGCUAUGGCACUGCACACAAGAAGAAUGUUGACAUAUUCCUGGCCCAGAAUUCAGGUGGUUUGGUGACUCUCAAACCAUGAUUCAGCAGACCUGUGAGGCUGUGAGUUCCCUAUCAGAACACAAUCUGCAGGUUGUAUUGUGCCAUAUACCUGGGACCAAAUUACAAGCACAAUGAUGAAUCUUUUACCUGGAGUCAAGACAUGGGCAGGAUGAUGGAACUUAUCACUGGACCUUUCCACAGUGUUAUUGUGACAUAUGCCUUUGCCCAACAUGUGGUGAUUUGACUCCCCAGACUGGGUCCAGUUCACAAAUAAAAUUGUGCCGUAUACUUGGCCAAGAACCUAA
rnacentral:lncRNA from 1 species